AGAUUCUGGAGUUAAAAGAUGGCCAAAAGACUGGGUGAACGAGGACUUUCUUUAUGUUUGAGAGAAACCAAGACUCAUCCCAGGCAAUCAAACUAAGGCCCAGGAAGGAAAACUGAAGUCCAGUUAGAUAUCCUCUGCAGUCAAAGUCUAUGGAUCGAGCACAUUACACAGUCAUGGUGAUAGCAGAUGUGUCCCUAAAAGGCCUUGGCUGUCUUUGGGCCAUUGUGGUCCUACUGAAAAAAGGGCUCAUCCUCAAAGGCUGUGAAAAAAUUAAAAACAGAAUUGGAGCUGAAUAAACUGGUUUGA